rfam:Pseudoalteromonas atlantica T6c, complete genome.
GGUUAAGUGACUAAGCGUAUACGGUGGAUGCCUAGGCAGUUAGAGGCGAUGAAGGACGUGUAAGUCUGCGAAAAGUUGUGGGGAGCCGACAAAAUGCUUUGAUCCACAAAUGUCCGAAUGGGGAAACCCACCGCUUCGGCGGUAUCAUACAGUGAAUACAUAGCUGUAUGAGGCAAACGAGGGGAACUGAAACAUCUAAGUACCCUUAGGAAAAGAAAUCAACCGAGAUUCCCCUAGUAGCGGCGAGCGAACGGGGAUUAGCCCUUAAGCUAAUGAUAAGCGAGUGGAAGGUGUUGGAAAGCACAGCGAUACAAGGUGAUAGCCCUGUACACGAACGCGAAUUUUAAGUGAAAUCGAGUAGGUCGGGACACGUGUUAUCUUGACUGAACAUGGGGGGACCAUCCUCCAAGGCUAAAUACUCCUAACUGACCGAUAGUGAACUAGUACCGUGAGGGAAAGGCGAAAAGAACCCCUGUGAGGGGAGUGAAAUAGAACCUGAAACCGUAUACGUACAAGCAGUGGGAGCAGACUUGUUCUGUGACUGCGUACCUUUUGUAUAAUGGGUCAGCGACUUAUAUUUUGUAGCAAGGUUAACCGAAUAGGGGAGCCGUAGCGAAAGCGAGUGUUAACUGCGCGUUUUAGUUGCAAGGUAUAGACCCGAAACCCGGUGAUCUAGCCAUGGGCAGGUUGAAGGUUGAGUAACAUCAACUGGAGGACCGAACCGACUAACGUUGAAAAGUUAGCGGAUGACUUGUGGCUGGGGGUGAAAGGCCAAUCAAACCGGGAGAUAGCUGGUUCUCCCCGAAAGCUAUUUAGGUAGCGCCUCGGACGAAUACCACUGGGGGUAGAGCACUGUUAAGGCUAGGGGGUCAUCCCGACUUACCAACCCUUUGCAAACUCCGAAUACCAGUGAGUACUAUCCGGGAGACACACGGCGGGUGCUAACGUCCGUCGUGAAGAGGGAAACAACCCAGACCGCCAGCUAAGGUCCCAAAAUUAUUGCUAAGUGGGAAACGAUGUGGGAAGGCUAAGACAGCUAGGAGGUUGGCUUAGAAGCAGCCACCCUUUAAAGAAAGCGUAAUAGCUCACUAGUCGAGUCGGCCUGCGCGGAAGAUGUAACGGGGCUAAGCAAUAUACCGAAGCUGCGGACGCAAAGUUUACUUUGCGUGGUAGGGGAGCGUUGUGUAAGUGGCUGAAGGUGAACUGAGAGGUUUGCUGGACAUAUCACAAGUGCGAAUGCUGACAUGAGUAACGAUAAUGCGGGUGAAAAACCCGCACGCCGGAAGACCAAGGUUUCCUGUCCCAUGCUAAUCAGGGCAGGGUAAGUCGGCCCCUAAGGCGAGGCAGAAAUGCGUAGUCGAUGGGAAACGGAUUAAUAUUUCCGUACUUGGUAUAUCAGUGAUGGGGGGACGGAGAAGGUUAUGCAAGCAUAGCGUUGGUUGUCUAUGUGAAAGUGUGUAGGGUUGAAUCUUAGGUAAAUCCGGGAUUCUACAUGCCUGAGACACGAGACGAGAUUCUACGGAAUUGAAGUUGCAAAUACCCUGCUUCCAGGAAAAGCCUCUAAACUUAUGAUAUAUCGAACCGUACCCCAAACCGACACAGGUGGUCAGGUAGAGAAUACUAAGGCGCUUGAGAGAACUCGGGUGAAGGAACUCGGCAAAAUCGUACCGUAACUUCGGGAGAAGGUACGCCCCUGUUUGUGAUGAGACUUGCUCUUUGAGCGAAUGGGGGCCGCAGUGAAAAGGUGGCUGGGACUGUUUAUUAAAAACACAGCACUGUGCUAAAUCGAAAGAUGACGUAUACGGUGUGACACCUGCCCGGUGCCGGAAGGUUAAUUGAUGGGGUUAGCGCAAGCGAAGCUCUUGAUCGAAGCCCCGGUAAACGGCGGCCGUAACUAUAACGGUCCUAAGGUAGCGAAAUUCCUUGUCGGGUAAGUUCCGACCUGCACGAAUGGUGUAACCAUGGCCACGCUGUCUCCACCCGAGACUCAGUGAAAUUGAAAUCGCAGUGAAGAUGCUGUGUACCCGCACCUAGACGGAAAGACCCCGUGAACCUUUACUAUAGCUUGGCACUGAACAUUGACCCUACAUGUGUAGGAUAGGUGGGAGACUUUGAAGCGUGAACGCCAGUUUGCGUGGAGUCAACCUUGAAAUACCACCCUUGUACGUUUGAUGUUCUAACGUUGUUCCCUUAUCGGGAAUGCGGACAGUGCCUGGUGGGUAGUUUGACUGGGGCGGUCUCCUCCCAAAGAGUAACGGAGGAGCACGAAGGUUGGCUAAUCCUGGUCGGACAUCAGGAGGUUAGUGCAAUGGCAUAAGCCAGCUUAACUGCGAGACAGACACGUCGAGCAGGUACGAAAGUAGGUCAUAGUGAUCCGGUGGUUCUGUAUGGAAGGGCCAUCGCUCAACGGAUAAAAGGUACUCCGGGGAUAACAGGCUGAUACCGCCCAAGAGUUCAUAUCGACGGCGGUGUUUGGCACCUCGAUGUCGGCUCAUCACAUCCUGGGGCUGAAGUCGGUCCCAAGGGUAUGGCUGUUCGCCAUUUAAAGUGGUACGCGAGCUGGGUUUAGAACGUCGUGAGACAGUUCGGUCCCUAUCUGGUGUGGGCGUUGGAUGAUUGAGGGGAGCUGCUCCUAGUACGAGAGGACCGGAGUGGACGAACCGCUGGUGUUCGGGUUGUUUUGCCAAAAGCAUUGCCCGGUAGCUACGUUCGGAAUCGAUAACCGCUGAAAGCAUCUAAGCGGGAAGCGAGCCCCAAGAUGAGUCAUCCCUGGCAGUUUAACUGUCCUAAAGGGUUGUUGAAGACUACGACGUUGAUAGGCAGGAUGUGGAAGCGUUGCAAGGCGUUAAGCUAACCUGUACUAAUUGCCCGUGAGGCUUAACCAU